GACAGAGGCCUCAAGCGUUAGGCGGAAUCACUGGGCUUAAAGCGUGUGUAGGCGGAUCGUUAAGUGUCUUGUGAAAUCCCACGGCUCACCCGUGGAACUGCUGGGCAUACUGGCGAUCUUGGGCCAACUAGGGGCAGCCGGAACAAGCGGUGGAGCGGUGAAAUGCGUAGAUAUCGCUUGGAACGCCGAAGGUGAAAACAGGCUGCUGGGGUUGUGCCGACGCUGAGACACGAAAGCCAGGGGAGCAAACGGGG
rnacentral:rRNA from 1 species